AGAAAAGUAUUUAAAAUUAUAAAAUCUAACUUGCAAUUAGAAAUUGAUCUUUCCUUUUCUA
rnacentral:tRNA from 1 species